GCCGACGUAGCUCAGUUGGUAGAGCAGCGGUUUUGUAAACCGCUGGUCGGGGGUUCAAUUCCUCUCGUCGGCU
rnacentral:tRNA from 1 species